CCUACGGGAGGCAGCAGUGAGGAAUAUUGGUCAAUGGCCGGAAGGCUGAACCAGCCAAGCCGCGUGAAGGACGAAGGUGCCAAGCAUUGUAAACUUCUUUUGUCAAGGGACAAAAUCAGGCUCGAGAGCCUGACCGAGGGUACUUGAAGAAAAAGCAUCGGCUAACUCCGUGCCAGCAGCCGCGGUAAUACGGAGGAUGCGAGCGUUAUCCGGAUUUAUGGGGUUGAAAGGGUGCGUAGGCGGACUGUUAAGUCAGCGGUAAAAGCCCGGGGCUCAACCCCGGCGAGCCGUUGAAACUGGGUGUCUUGAGAUGUCGAGAGGUAUGCGGAAUGCGCAGUGUAGCGGUGAAAUGCUUAGAUAGUGCGCAGAACUCCGAUUGCGAAGGCAGCAUACCGGCGGCGAUCUGACGCUGAGGCACGAAAGCGUGGGUAUCGAACAGGAUUAGAUACCCCAGUAGUC
rnacentral:rRNA from 1 species